CNGGCGGCCUNNNAAGUCUGUCGUUAAAGCGUGGAGCUUAACUCCANUGAGCGAUGGAAACUACAAGGCUUGAGUGUGGUAGGGGCAGAGGGNANUNCCGGUGUAGCGGUGAAAUGCGUAGAUAUCGGGAAGAACACCAGUGGCGAAGGCGCUCUGCUGGGCCAUAACUGACGCUCAUGGACGAAAGCCAGGGGAGCGAAAGGGAUUAGAUACCCCUGUAGUCCUGGCCGUAAACGAUGAACACUAGGUGUCGGGGGAAUCGACCCCCUCGGUGUCGUAGCCAACGCGUUAAGUGUUCCGCCUGGGGAGUACGCACGCAAGUGUGAAACUCAAAGGAAUUGACGGGGGCCCGCACAAGCGGUGGAGUAUGUGGUUUAAUUCGAUGCAACGCGAAGAACCUUACCAGGGUUUGACAUCCUGCGAACCUCUGAGAAAUCGGGGGGUGCCUUCGGGAACGCAGAGACAGGUGGUGCAUGGCUGUCGUCAGCUCGUGUCGUGAGAUGUUGGGUUAAGUCCCGCAACGAGCGCAACCCACGUCUUUAGUUGCCAGCAUUCAGUUGGGCACUCUAGAGAGACCGCCGGUGAUAAACCGGAGGAAGGUGUGGAUGACGUCAAGUCACCAUGCCCCUUACAUCCUGGGCUACACACGUACUACAAUGCUACGGACAAAGGGCAGCAAGCUCGCGAGAGUAAGCAAAUCCCAUAAACCGUGGCUCAGUUCAGAUCGUAGGCUGCAACUCGCCUACGUGAAGGAGGAAUCGCUAGUAAUCGCAGGUCAGCAUACUGCGGUGAAUACGUUCCCGGGCCUUGUACACACCGCCCGUCACACCAUGGAAGUUGGCCACGCCCGAAGUCGUUACUCCAACCCUUGUGGAGGAGGACGCCGAAGGUGGGGCUGAUGACUGGGGUG
rnacentral:rRNA from 1 species